rnacentral:rRNA from 1 species
AUGAAGGAUGCUCUAGAGAGCCUUGCAGAUGUUGAUGAGAUGGAUAAACAGACCGCGAGGUGGAGGGAUGCAGUCAGGGAGAUGUCAUAUGACAUCGAGGAUAUUAUUGAUGACUUCAUCUGCAAAAUUGGGGAGAAAAGCAAAAAAUCUGGGUUUGUCCAUGACACCAUUCAACGCCUUAGAACUUCAAGGGUCCGCCAUAAGAUUGCUGGUCAGAUUGAGGACAUCAAGAAACUCGUACGUGAAACAAGUGCACGUAGUGAGAGGUAUAAGGUCGAUGUCCCCACAUCGCGCAAUGUGGCUGUUGACCAACGGGUUGUCGCACUCUAUGAGGAUGCAGCUAAACUUGUUGGUAUGGACGGCCCAACCAAUGAGCUUGUCAGUUGGCUAAAAGAUGAGGAGAAUGAGUUGAAGGUUGUAUCAAUUGUUGGCUUUGGAGGUUUAGGCAAAACAACACUCGCCAAUGAGGUGUACCAUAAGCUGAAGGGGGAGUUCAAUUGUGGUGCAUUUGUGCCAGUGUCUCAAAAGCCAAAUAUUUUGAAACUUCUGCAUAGUUUAUUAGCCCAACUCGGGUGUGGACAAUCUAUUCAUGAUUGCGAGUUAAAUGUUCUUCUUGAUCAACUCAGAGAUAAUCUAAAAACCAAGAGGCGGUACUUAUUCUUAGUUUGUAUAUGGUUGUUGUCCCCAUGUGCCCUUAGUACUUAA